rnacentral:rRNA from 1 species
UUGCUUGGAAGCAGCCAUUCAUUUAAAGAGUGCGUAACAGCUCACUGGUCGAGCGAUUGGGCGUGGAUGAUACUCGGGCAUCAAGUAUAGUACCGAAGCUUUGGUCCCGAUAAGUUUACUUAUCGGGAGGUAGGGGAGCAUUCUAACAACGUAGAAGGAGUUGCGUAAGCGCUACUGGAGUGGUUAGAAAAGCAAAUGUAGGCAUAAGUAACGAUAAAGCAGGCGAGAAACCUGCUCGCCAAUAGUCUAAGGUUUCCUGAACAACGAUAAUCGGUUCAGGGUUAGUCGGGUCCUAAGGCGAAUCCGAAGGGAAUAGUCGAUGGACAACUGGUUAAUAUUCCAGUACUAACACCACUGCGAUGGAGAGACGAAAAAACGUAAACACGGCGCACUGACGGAAUAGUGCGUUUAAGCUUGUAGGGCUUUUUCCGGUAGGCAAAUCCGCCGGGAUUCUGAAGAGCGAAAGUACCUUGAGUCGUCAGACAAGAGGAUAAGCGUCCAAGUAUGUUUCCGAGAAAAACUUCUAAGCUUCAGGUGUGUGUUACCCGUACCGCAAACCGACACAGGUAGACAAGUAGAAUAUACUAAGGCGCUCGAGUGAUCCGUGGCUAAGGAACUAGGCAAAUUAACCCCGUAACUUCGGGAGAAGGGGUACCCAUAGCAAUAUGGGUCGCAGAGAAAUGGCGGUGGCGACUGUUUAACAAAAACACAGGGCUUUGCAAAAACGAAAGUUGAAGUAUAAGGCCUGACACCUGCCCGGUGCUGGAAGGUUAAGAGGAGAGGUCAUCGCAAGAGAAGCUUUGAAUCGAAGCCCCAGUAAACGGCGGCCGUAACUAUAACGGUCCUAAGGUAGCGAAAUUCCUUGUCGGGUAAGUUCCGACCUGCACGAAUGGUGUAACGAUCUCCGCUCUGUCUCAGCCACGAGCUCGGUGAAAUUGUGGUAUCAGUGAAGACGCUGAUUACCCGCAACGGGACGGAAAGACCCCAUGCACCUUUACUAUAGCUUAACAUUGAUUUCGGGUAAGUGAUGUGUAGGAUAGGUGGGAGGCUUUGAAGUGGUGGCGCUAGUCAUCAUGGAGCCAAUGUUGAAAUACCACCCUUUACUUACUAGAAGUCUAACUCCUCACGGAGGACAUUGUUUGGUGGGUAGUUUGACUGGGGUGGUCGCCUCCGAAAGGGUAUCGGAGGCUUUCAAAGGUUCGCUCAGUACGCUUGGUAACCGUACGUAGAGUGCAAUAGCAUAAGGGUGCUUGACUGUGAGACCGACAAGUCGAGCAGGUACGAAAGUAGGAUAUAGUGAUCCGGUGGUUCCGCAUGGAAGGGCCAUCGCUCAUAGGAUAAAAGGUAC